rnacentral:rRNA from 1 species
CGGCGCACAUAAGACAUGCAAGUCGAACGGAGUUUAGGUUAUGUUUACAUUAACCGAAGACUUAGUGGCGGACUGGUGAGUAACACGUGAGCAACCUACCUUAAGAGGGGAAUAACAUUGAGAAAUCAGUGCUAAUACCGCAUAAAGCAUAACCUUCGCAUGGAGGAUAUGCCAAAGGAGCAAUCCGCUUAAAGAUGGGCUCGCGGCUGAUUAGUUAGUUGGUGGGGUAACGGCCUACCAAGACAGUGAUCAGUAGCCGAGCUGAGAGGCUCAACGGCCACAUUGGGACUGAGAUACGGCCCAGACUCCUACGGGAGGCAGCAGUCGGGAAUAUUGCACAAUGGAGGAAACUCUGAUGCAGUGACGCCGCGUACAGGAAGAAGGUCCUCUGGAUUGUAAACUGUUGUCGAAGGGGAAGAUAAUGACAGUACCCUUGGAGGAAGCUCCGGCAAACUACGUGCCAGCCGCCGC